ACACCUCAACUUCCCAGAUGCUUUUGGAAUCUUGUAGCGCUUUUCCAAGCUCAUAAUCGCAUCACUUGUCACAUUUGUUAUAAUUUACUUGCUUUGGUCGAUCAUUUCCAUAGGCAUGGUAUGUACCGAUAUAUCUUUCUCAGCAUUGUGGAAGGUGAGGAAUCAUUCAGAAAAUUUUCUCCACAAGUGUUGGUUAAGGAUGUAUCUGUGGUUUCUUGUUGCAUCAUAUUAUCCAUUUACAUGGGACAAGUGUGCAAUGUCGUCUUCUGAAAGGUGGAUCAAAGUGAAACAAUUGCAUAAUUGGAUUUUAUAACUGUGAUCCCUCAUGAGGUUUUACCUGUACUAUGGAUAUUGGUAUGAACUGACUCAAUCCAAAAAUGCAUUGAAGCUAUCCUUGAUGCUUUCUAAACAGCAUGGUGCU